rnacentral:lncRNA from 1 species
UGGAUUUGAGGAGGAGGCUUUUGGGGAUUCGAAGCGUGGCGUUCGUGGAUCGAACCUGAGUGUAGACCGACGACUGUUUGGUGUUGCGAGAUACAGAGUAAGAUUAAAAUGGUCAAGUCCCUGAAGUUAGUAAUUAUUUUGUAAUCUUUUCUUUCUUAGUGAAAUAUUUUUCGUGAUCGUUCUGGUGAAUUUAAUUUAUUCUUGUUUGGAUGUUUUUCCAGUUAAGUUUCGGUGUACUUUUUAAAUUUUCGUAUUUAUUUUAUUUGUCGACUAUUUGUGAUUUU